rnacentral:rRNA from 1 species
AGCGACUAAGCGUACACGGUGGAUGCCCAGGCAGUCAGAGGCGAUGAAGGACGUGCUAAUCUGCGUAAAGCGACGGUAAGGUGAUAUGAACCGCUACAGCCGUCGAUGUCCGAAUGGGGAAACCCGGUGCACUCUGUGCAUCAUUGCAGCAUGAAUACAUAGUGCUGCAAGGCGAACCGGGGGAACUGAAACAUCUAAGUACCCCGAGGAAAAGAAAUCAACCGAGAUUCCCCCAGUAGCGGCGAGCGAACGGGGAGCAGCCCAGAGCCUGAAUCAGUUUGUGUGUUAGUGGAAGCGUCUGGAAAGUCGCAGGGUACAGGGUGAUACUCCCGUACACAAAAACACACAUGCUGUGAGCUCGAUGAGUAAGGCGGGACACGUGGUAUCCUGUCUGAAUAUGGGGGGACCAUCCUCCAAGGCUAAAUACUCCUGACUGACCGAUAGUGAACCAGUACCGUGAGGGAAGGGCGAAAAGAACCCCGGCGAGGGGAGUGAAACAGAACCUGAAACCGUGUACGUACAAGCAGUGGGAGCCUUCUUUAUGGGGGUGACUGCGUACCUUUUGUAUAAUGGGUCAGCGACUUAUAUUCUGUAGCAAGGUUAACCGUAUAGGGGAGCCGCAGGGAAACCGAGUCUUAACUGGGCGUUAAGUUGCAGGGUAUAGACCCGAAACCCGGUGAUCUAGCCAUGGGCAGGUUGAAGGUUGGGUAACACUAACUGGAGGACCGAACCGACUAAUGUUGAAAAAUUAGCGGAUGACCUGUGGCUGGGGGUGAAAGGCCAAUCAAACCGGGAGAUAGCUGGUUCUCCCCGAAAGCUAUUUAGGUAGCGCCUCGUGAACUCAUCUUCGGGGGUAGAGCACUGUUUCGGCUAGGGGGCCAUCCCGGCUUACCAACCCGAUGCAAACUGCGAA